rnacentral:lncRNA from 1 species
ACAUUGCGAUUUAAUUUGCUUGUUUAUAUUAUUUAAUGCUGUACCUGUAUUUUGUACAGUUUUUAUUAUUUCUGGACUAAUAUCUGUUAAAAAUAUCUGAUUUUCCCAAUCUGAGGCAAUUAUAUCUACUGUCUUUUUUAUUCUUUGCAAAAAUAUAUCUCGGUCUCCGUGGAUUCUAGUCAUUUUGCUUCUAAUGCCAAAAGAUGGAAAUAAAACAGACUCUCAUUGGAUCAUACUUAUUCGCGUAUAUCUGCGAUAGUUUUCAUAAAAUGAAGAAAUAACGCGUUAGUUUAAGAAAGUAACGCGAUAGUUUUACAAAAUAACACGUUAACUUAAUACUUGAAUAAAUAAUAUCACGUUAAUAAUGAAAACUAACGCGUUAGUUUAAUAAUUUUUCUAAUUGAUAGCAAAAGUGAAAUAUUGCGAUAGUUUUGUGUAAUAACGCGUUAGUUUUGGAAACUAACGCGUUAAAAUGGAGAAAUAUCGCGCGUUAUUGUUGUAAAG